UGCUUCAAAGAAAGCGCUAAAGGAAAAAUUAAAACAAGCCCUGGCCAACCUAGAAGGACCAGAUCCUACGGACAAUAAUGAAGAAUUAUUGCAACUUAUCGCCGAAGCUUCCUCAACAGGCAGUAGCAGCGACAAUGGCGAUAUGCUAGAUCCCAAAGGGAUCGCUAUGGCCUACCUUGAUCCCUAUUAAGAAUAGGGAAAUAACCUUUCAAAGAGAUAGAGGUCCAAAGGGCCGGAAUUACCUCUUCGAAAGGGCAAUUCACUAUUCCUAAAAGGAAUCUAGGUGUCAGACGAAGUUUGCUUUUCAAAAGCAAAAGAAAGGAAUCUUUACUUU
rnacentral:lncRNA from 1 species